rnacentral:rRNA from 1 species
AGCAGUCGCCGCGGUAACACGAAGGGGGCUAGCGUUGUUCGGAAUUACUGGGCGUAAAGCGCACGUAGGCGGAUAUUUAAGUCAGGGGCGAAAUCCCAGAGCUCAACUCUGGAACUGCCUUUGAUACUGGGUAUCUUGAGUAUGGAAGAGGUGAGUGGAAUUCCGAGUGUAGAGGUGAAAUUCGUAGAUAUUCGGAGGAACACCAGUGGCGAAGGCGGCUCACUGGUCCAUUACUGACGCUGAGGUGCGAAAGCGUGGGGAGCAAACAGGAUUAGAUACCCCAGUAGUCCCUGUCUCUUAUAC